rnacentral:misc_RNA from 1 species
AAAGUCGUAACAAGGUUUCCGUAGGUAAACCUACGGAAGGAUCAUUACCUGGCCUUAGGCCGCUCGGGGGAGCCAGUCGCUCGCGACGACGCUGCCUUAAGCGCUUAGCCCUUAACUAUCACCUUAACUACGUGCACCUUUUAUUAUUUCCUCGGCAGGUCCUCUGCCGCCAGGAACCCCCCAAACCCCUUUACAACAGCAUCCAAACUUCUAAAAACAAACCAAAUCAUUUACAACUUUUAACAAUGGAUCUCUUAGUUCUG